rnacentral:rRNA from 1 species
UACGUAGGGUGCAAGCGUUGUCCGGAAUUAUUGGGCGUAAAGAGCUUGUAGGCGGUUUGUCGCGUCUGCUGUGAAAUUUCGGGGCUCAACCCCGAACUUGCAGUGGGUACGGGCAGACUAGAGUGUGGUAGGGGAGACUGGAAUUCCUGGUGUAGCGGUGAAAUGCGUAGAUAUCAGGAGGAAUACCGGUGGCGAAAGCGACUCUCUGGACGGCAACUGACGCUGAGGCACGAAAGCGUGGGGAGCAAACAGG